CUGGAGGUAUCAGAAGUGCGAAUGCUGACAUAAGUAACGAUAAAGCGGGUGAAAAGCCCGCUCGCCGGAAGACCAAGGGUUCCUGUCCAACGUUAAUCGGGGCAGGGUGAGUCGACCCCUAAGGCGAGGCCGAAAGGCGUAGUCGAUGGGAAACGGGUUAAUAUUCCCGUACUUGGUGUUACUGCGAAGGGGGGACGGAGAAGGCUAUGUUGGCCGGGCGACGGUUGUCCCGGUUUAAGCGUGUAGGUGUGUGUUCCAGGUAAAUCCGGUUCACUUUAACACUGAGGCGUGAUGACGAGGCACUACGGUGCUGAAGCAACAAAUGCCCUGCUUCCAGGAAAAGCCUCUAAGCAUCAGGUAACAUCAAAUCGUACCCCAAACCGACACAGGUGGUCAGGUAGAGAAUACCAAGGCGCUUGAGAGAACUCGGGUGAAGGAACUAGGCAAAAUGGUGCCGUAACUUCGGGAGAAGGCACGCUGACACGUAGGUGAAGUGAUUUACUCACGGAGCUGAAGUCAGUCGAAGAUACCAGCUGGCUGCAACUGUUUAUUAAAAACACAGCACUGUGCAAACACGAAAGUGGACGUAUACGGUGUGACGCCUGCCCGGUGCCGGAAGGUUAAUUGAUGGGGUCAGCGCAAGCGAAGCUCCUGAUCGAAGCCCCGGUAAACGGCGGCCGUAACUAUAACGGUCCUAAGGUAGCGAAAUUCCUUGUCGGGUAAGUUCCGACCUGCACGAAUGGCGUAAUGAUGGCCAGGCUGUCUCCACCCGAGACUCAGUGAAAUUGAACUCGCUGUGAAGAUGCAGUGUACCCGCGGCAAGACGGAAAGACCCCGUGAACCUUUACUAUAGCUUGACACUGAACAUUGAGCCUUGAUGUGUAGGAUAGGUGGGAGGCUUUGAAGUGUGGACGCCAGUCUGCAUGGAGCCGACCUUGAAAUACCACCCUUUAAUGUUUGAUGUUCUAACGUGGACCCGUGAUCCGGGUUGCGGACAGUGUCUGGUGGGUAGUUUGACUGGGGCGGUCUCCUCCUAAAGAGUAACGGAGGAGCACGAAGGUUGGCUAAUCCUGGUCGGACAUCAGGAGGUUAGUGCAAUGGCAUAAGCCAGCUUGACUGCGAGCGUGACGGCGCGAGCAGGUGCGAAAGCAGGUCAUAGUGAUCCGGUGGUUCUGAAUGGAAGGGCCAUCGCUCAACGGAUAAAAGGUACUCCGGGGAUAACAGGCUGAUACCGCCCAAGAGUUCAUAUCGACGGCGGUGUUUGGCACCUCGAUGUCGGCUCAUCACAUCCUGGGGCUGAAGUAGGUCCCAAGGGUAUGGCUGUUCGCCAUUUAAAGUGGUACGCGAGCUGGGUUUAGAACGUCGUGAGACAGUUCGGUCCCUAUCUGCCGUGGGCGCUGGAGAACUGAGGGGGGCUGCUCCUAGUACGAGAGGACCGGAGUGGACGCAUCACUGGUGUUCGGGUUGUCAUGCCAAUGGCACUGCCCGGUAGCUAAAUGCGGAAGAGAUAAGUGCUGAAAGCAUCUAAGCACGAAACUUGCCCCGAGAUGAGUUCUCCCUGAGACUUAGAGUCUCCUGAAGGAACGU
rnacentral:rRNA from 1 species